rnacentral:rRNA from 1 species
UACGGGGGGGGGCAAGCGUUGUUCGGAAUUACUGGGCGUAAAGGGCGCGUAGGCGGCUUGGCAAGUGGAUGGUGAAAUCCCUCGGCUUAACCGAGGAACUGCCAUCCAGACUGCUUUGCUUGAGGCCGGGAGAGGUAAGCGGAAUUCCCAGUGUAGCGGUGAAAUGCGUAGAUAUUGGGAGGAACACCAGUGGCGAAGGCGGCUUACUGGUCCAGAUCUGACGCUGAGGUGCGAAAGCGUGGGGAGCAAACAGG